ACGUCUGAAAGGCUGGAUGCAGCCCUUGGGCCAUAGUUUGUCCACCCCUGUUCUAGAGUCCUGGCCAAGAAUCUAAAGGAGGGGCAGGAGGAGGAGACAUUACAGGUGCUUUUUGCUUGAUUGACCUUAGAAUGUUUGUUACUGCUUGCAUCCACCUUUCUGCUUGUAACCCCCUCUCCCUGCUUUAUGUGCUUGGCCCAUGGCUACCACCUGCCACUGUGGCUUCAGAGUUUUCCAAGAUGUCUGAGUGGCGAAGAAGUCCAGCGAAGUGAACAUUAGGAAGGAUUUGGCAGCCCGGCAAUCCCCUUAAGAUUCUCUGGCACGCAUGCUGCAUGAUGCCUGACAGCACCUCCUGCUUGAAGCAUUUUGCAGACUUUACGCUUGGCAGCAGUGCCUGAGAGCAGUGAGUGUUUACCCCCAUUUUACAUAUGGUUUGAGCUAUAAAGCCCUACAUGCUUUGCAUCUGCCUACGUCAAAGACACUCCCCCCUCACCCCACCCCUCUUUCUCCUUGCAGUGCUGCCACAGCUGAGCUCAGAGAUGCUUAAGCUGAAGCCCCCAGUGGCACACAUGAGAAGGGGUUGCUUCCAGGGCAUCCUCUGGAGGCCCCUCAACUUUGGAAUUCGUUCCCCAAACCAGUCAGCGUCUGAGGUCCUUCAGGUACCACGGGACUGAACAUCUCUACAAAGGAGAAGUUUCACAUCUGAGAUGAAAGUCCAGUGGAGAGGACAGGACCAAGUGAUCUCUCUCCGCCCUGGUCACCAUAGCAGAAGGGAAUCUCCUCCCUCCCCCACAGACAUAGGCUGCAGUGAAGAAUAAUAUCCCAACCCGCAACGAAAACCAGUGAGCAGUUGUGGAUCAGCGUUUGCAAUGGCCAGAACUUUAUUAUUAAUUAUUUGGGGUAUGUUGUGCCUAGAAGCCCCAGCUGAGAUCCGGAUCCCUGUGUACAUACAUGUAGUCCCUGCCCUGAAGAGCUUACAAACUGAACAGAUAAAACGGACAAAAGAAGUUAUACUGUCCCUGUUCUAUGGAUGAGGAAGUGAGGCAUGGAGGGGUUCGGUGACUUUCCCCAGGUCACACAGGGAAGAAGUAUGUGGCAGAGCUGGGAAUGGAACUUGGGUACCUUCCUCUCAAUUUUAAUAACAGGCCCACGAGGCCUUACAAGUCUAGACAUAGCAGCAGCAGUGGAGAAAUUCCACUACAAUACUCACUGGAACCAAACAUUGACUAGUUGGUGGGAGAGUGGAUGGGCAUGGUGGGUUCCUGGUGUCUACUAUAUCUCAUGUUCUGUUUGUGUCGUGCAUAGAGAGAAAUGGGAUUCCCAUAAACUGACAAUGCCACUGUGACACCCUGGCACCCCCUUAUUUACCACUAUCCUGUAAUUAGGUUAUGUUUUGUACAGAGUAUGCCUUGUGAGGUCUCAUUCUAAAAGUAUUGAUCUGCUAGACAUUAAUAUCUCAUUGGAUUGUAUGUGCUAUCGUCGUAUGUGAAGUUAUGAAGUUUGGCUAUGUAUGUGUUACUGAA